GACGAACGCUGGCGGCGUGUCUAAUACAUGCAAGUAGAACGCUGAAGGAGGAGCUUGCUUCUCUGGAUGAGUUGCGAACGGGUGAGUAACGCGUAGGUAACCUGCCUGGUAGCGGGGGAUAACUAUUGGAAACGAUAGCUAAUACCGCAUAAUAGCAGUUGUUGCAUGAUAACUGUUUGAAAGGUGCAAUUGCACCACUACCAGAUGGACCUGCGUUGUAUUAGCUAGUUGGUGGGGUAACGGCUCACCAAGGCGACGAUACAUAGCCGACCUGAGAGGGUGAUCGGCCACACUGGGACUGGGACAAGGCCCAAAAUCCUACGGGAGGCAGCAGGAGGGAAUCUUCGGCAAUGGACGGAAGUCUGACCGAGCAACGCCGCGGGAGUGAAGAAGGGUUUCGGAUCGUAAAGCUCUGUUGUAAGAGAAGAACGAGUGUGAGAGUGGAAAGUUCACACUGUGACGGUAUCUUACCAGAAAGAGACGGCUAACUACGUG
rnacentral:rRNA from 1 species